UUCAAAUGAAACAUACAACGGUAAUGAAAAUUCAAAUGGCAUGGAGCGGGGAAAAGCAUGUGAAGUUGACAUUAUAAUCCUUGGCAUUUUUAAGGCAAGAGUUUGUCUAGUUCAAUUACAUCACAGACCCUCCACAAAUCAUCUUUCUUCAUCUUCUGGAGCUUGUCCUUCAAUUUCAAUUUUCCCAAACUCUGAAAACUGCAAAACAUCCCUCUUAAAAUGAUAAGCAUUUCCGCGCCUUCCAUAAAGAAGAUCGUGAAUGAUUUCCAGCAUUUCAUUACCUCUGGUGAAUUUAUAUGCCACAUUUGAAAUGUUCUUAAGCUGUGUGCCUUUGCCCUGUUCAAUGAUGAAUUCUCUGGGGCUAUCCCUAAUGGUGGAAAUGAUGAAUUCUCUGGGGCUAUCCCUAAUGGUGGAAGGAUCAAAGGUUUUUGCAGGCUUCUUUUCUCUCACAGGCCUAUCCAGCGGAGUAGUAGGCUUUGAAAGUAAAUCCUCGGUUUUCUCUUCUCUGAAUUCUUCAGCCAUGUCGAGAUUCGAACCUGUGAAGGCUCAAACCCUGGAAUUAAAUACCUCUUGUAGCUUCGUUCAACGAAUCGGCAUCAAAUAUGGACAUACAUGUUCGAAUUUAAAAUUUAUGAAGAGGCAAAACAAAGGAUCAGAAAAUAGCAACCGAAUGAAAUCAAAUUUCCUCUUCCAGAGUUGACAGGAAAUUGACAUUUUCUUCAUACUUCCAUUCGUACUCAGAAUAUUUACACAGUUAUUUUUACCUGAUCUUGCAAAUUAUGGAGCCACAAAGUAAUUUGGGCCGAACAUAUCCAUGAAUCUCAUCAAGGUGGGUAUCAAUGGCCAUUCUAGAACAAUUGAACAAUGGAAGCAGAUGGGAGAUGCAGAGAAAAGGGUAGUAGUUAAUUCAGAAAUAAAGUGAAUUACGGAGGGAAUAGUACUUAUGCAACAGAUUGCCUUCGGGUUUGAACAAAGUCUUACAACUUAUGUCCAGUCGGAUGACACCUUAACUGCUAUUCAGACACUGAUUUCUACUAGCUCAUAUGGAAUUAUGCAUUCCUUGAUUGGAGGAAAACCUCUGUUGAUUCUUGGAGUUGCAAUCCCACAACUCUUAUGUAUACAUAUAUGUAUAUCUUUGCAAAAGACAGGGGUGAUUUGGGACAAAGAUUGUUUCUUACAUGGAUAGGAUCGUAAAUAUGAAUAGUCACAGUAUUAGAGAAUUCAUAUAGCGAGCACUAUAUAUUGUUUCCUUUGUAUUUUGAUACAUGUAAUGGGAUCUAGAAGAUGGUCAUAUAGUGUAUUAUUUUAAGGGAGAAAGUAUUUUGUAAAACCUUUAUUGAUGGAAGGCAUUUUGUGUAGGGCUUGUGUGUGGACAACACUGCUGCUAUUUGUUUUUGCAAUUUUCAGUUCCUGCACAAUCAUCAAUACGUUUAAAAGAUUAGCCGGAGAGGUCUUUGGCAUGUUAAUUGUUGUAUUAUUUCUGCAAGAAGCUAUCAAGGUUAUGGUAGAAGAAUUUUGCAUACUCGAAAACGGUGAUCCCAAUCAUGAGCAACUGAAAUAUCCAUGGUGUUUCUCAAACAACCUAUUUGGGAUUGUUUUGUCUUUUGACCUACUGUUCACAUCAUUGAAAAGAAGAUGAGCUCGAUCAUCUAGAUAUGACACAGGUAUUCAGCAAAUGUUGGGAUUACAGUUGCAGUUGCAAGCUACAGUAGGUAAUGGCAAGUGUUGUUAGGAAUGCUGAAGGAGAGGAGAAAACUUUGCAUUGGAUCUAAGUUCUUUGGCAUAAUAUACUGGACUAGGAGGUAACAACAAUGCUAAUAUUGGAGAUAGCUCUAAAUAGUAUAAAUUUCUGUAAGAAUUCCAAACUUGAAUCUUACAUUUAAAACUAGUAGUAAUCUAAACCUAUAGAUUCAGGAGAAAAUCUUUAAGUUCAAUGCAUAGUAGCAUUCCAUUUACAUGCCAUUCAGAGAGCAAAUUGAAAUUGUGAAUAAAAUACAGUAAAUAUGUAUUACUAUCCUGUAAAUUUUAUUGACAAAACUAAUUAUGAACAUUGUUUA